rnacentral:rRNA from 1 species
UACGUAGGGGGCAAGCGUUGUCCGGAUUUAUUGGGUUUAAAGGGUGCGUAGGCGGUGAUUUAAGUCAGUGGUGAAAUACGGCAGCUUAACUGUCGAGGUGCCAUUGAUACUGGGUCACUUGAGUACUGAUGAGGUAGGCGGAAUGGACGGUGUAGCGGUGAAAUGCUUAGAGAUCGUCCAGAACACCGAUAGCGAAGGCAGCUUACUAAGGAGUAACUGACGCUGAGGCACGAAAGUGUGGGGAUCAAACAGG